GGGCCCGCACAAGCGGUGGAGCAUGUGGUUUAAUUCGAUGCAACGCGAAGAACCUUACCUGGUCUUGACAUACACAGAAUCUUGUAGAGAUACGAGAGUGCCUUCGGGAAUUGUGAUACAGGUGCUGCAUGGCUGUCGUCAGCUCGUGUCGUGAGAUGUUGGGUUAAGUCCCGCAACGAGCGCAACCCACGUCUUUAGUUGCCAGCAUUUAGUUGGGCACUCUAAAGAGACUGCCGGUGAUAAGCCGGAGGAAGGUGGGGACGACGUCAAGUCCUCAUGGCCCUUACGGGAUGGGCUACACACGUGCUACAAUGGCAGUGACAAUGGGUUAAUCCCCAAAAACUGUCUCAGUUCGGAUUGAGGUCUGAAACUCGACCUCAUGAAGUCGGAAUCGCUAGUAAUCG
rnacentral:rRNA from 1 species